rnacentral:misc_RNA from 1 species
GAUGAAGAACGCAGCGAAACGCGAUAAGUAAUGUGAAUUGCAGAAUUCAGUGAAUCAUCGAAUCUUUGAACGCAACUUGCGCCCUCUGGUAUUCCGGAGGGCAUGCCUGUUUGAGUGUCAUGUAGACUCAAUCCCUCGGGUUUCUGAGGAGGUUGGAUUUGGGUGCUUGCCUUCUGGCUCGCCUUAAAGGACUUAGCAGGAUAGCACUGUAGUCGACGUAAUAAGUCUCGUCGGUGAAAGUGUGAUGUCUGCUUACAGAUUGCCCUUGGGCACUUUUGACUCUGACCUCAAAUCAGGUAGGACUACCCGCUGAACUUAAGCAUAUCAAUAAGCGGAGGA